GUCCCUCAAUUUCUUUUCCACUUUUUUAUUUCUUUAGGGGAUGUUUUGUAACAUCUUUCCACCGCUUUCAACGUGGCUUACACUGAUGGUUUAAUGGUAAUUUCGGUUCUACGUGUCAAUUGAUCGAUCAUUCUCUUUCUUUGGUAGACUUCUUUCUUCUCCGUUUCUCCUUCUUUCUGCUCACUGGUUUCUUUCAUCCCACCGCCCACCGCCUCUUCCAGGAGCUUUCUACAUCGACUUUCUUCCUUUCCCAAACUCAUUGUCAAUGCUUUUAUCGGGUCUCACUCUCUCUCUGUCUCUGGCUUUGUUACCGGUGCAGAAGAACCCGACGCACCAUCAUAUGUGAUUCAAUUUGGGGUUUACGUAUCAUCGCAGUGGAGUGGUGGUGGUUGUGACACUACAAAUCGAUUCUCGACCUCAAAGCGAAGCUGAAGAUUAGGGCUUUCAAUCGCUAACGUCCCUGCGAUGAGCGAUACCUGCCUUCUCCAACUGGUGCUCCGAUUCAUUAACCCCACCUCCUCACCGUAGAUUAUCGAUGAGCCGGAAAGAUCAACUGAUGAGGUCGACGCCUACCAACCCGUACCGCUUCUGGGAACGCUUCCAACCAUCAUCGCAGGUGAUUCCGCUUCCGGCUUUCCCUACUGAUUACGCUUUCAUCAAGUGGUACGGAAUUUGUUUGCGAGGGUUUUUUCGCUACUGGUUUGCAAGGGUUUUUUCGCUUUCAUCAGGUGCAUGAAGUCGUUUGCGAAAUAGACCACAGAGGAGGUAUUUGAGGAUUGAAGUCAUUUCUACAAAAGAUGACAUUUGGGGUACACAACACAGAGAAGGAGGUUCCUGAAAUGCUUCUUUAUGCAGUCUAACUUUUUGCAAGAUUCACGGUAACUUUAUAAGGCUUGCUUUUGUUGGUUAGCUCCAUCUCAUGAUGGUAAUUCAUUGCGCAACUCACGAACAGUAUAGGUCCCUUUCACUAUUUUACGAUCAUUAUAGAGUACCAGCUGAAUAGUGAAGGUUGUCUUUUGAUAUACCUUUGGUUGAACGAUAUCAGCAUGUGAGAUUCUUCGGAAAAAUAUUUGUUGCAGUUGUGUCCCUUAUCGCAUCCAUAGGAUUUCUGACAUAUGAAGGAAAGUAAGCCUGUCUACAACCUUUUGGCUGAAACUGUAAUUUUGCAUUAGGUUAUUUGUCAUGCUAAGGAAGUUUCCUAUUGAAUCUAAAGCAAGACCCAAGAAACUUCUCGAGAUCGGUGAUUGUUGAGAUGAAUGUGGAAUUACCUAACUAACCCUACCUUCAAUCAACUAAGCGUCUGAUUUGUGCUAAAUGUCGUAGGAUGUUUGGUCUGCUUUUGAUUCACAAGCUACAUUUGAUGUGCUUGAUCAUCCGGUUCUGAACUUGAUCUUCUACAUGGUCAAAAAUUGCAUCCUUUGUAAUAAAUGAGCAAUGUUUCGAUGUAUCAGUGUUAAAAAUUUAGGUUAUAUUUCAAACACUUUUUCAUGUUUCUUCAGGCAACUAUAUCAGUUUAAGUCGGUUUGUGCUGAGUUUAUUUGUUAUUUAGACCUUUUUGUCCCUAUGAGUUAUCUAACUUUUUCCCCAUCUUGAUUACAAUAUAACCCAUAUUUGGGUAAUUGGAUGUAUACUCGCUGAAGUAUCAACAGGAAGACCAGGUUCCCCUGAUAUUCGUAUCAUUUGUUCAUGUACAAAUGUUAUCAGUGUGGCACUGUUAUACCAACAAUAAAGGGAUAUUUGUAGAAGUGGCUAAAGUACGUUACAAUUUUUUUUUUUUGUAUUAUAGCAUCUUACUUUGAUGAAUAUUAUUUUUUGUUUAUAUAUAAAAAUGAGAAUGUGACGUGGAUUUAUUGCUCCAGCUCUGUGCAGUUAGCCAAAGAGACUGAAAGGAGAUUAAUACUAUGUGAUUACAGUUUCUGUUUGAACCAUUGGAUUGAAUUUGAUAAUUACUUCUCUUUUGGUCAUCGUUAAAUUAUAUGUAUAUAUGAAUGAUUUAUAUUCAUUAAAAAUAUUAACAUUACAAAACAUGAUAACCAAGAAUAAGACGAUUAUAGGUUGUUGAGUGUGUUGGUGAGAUAGAGGGGCUACGUGUGGCUAACAUAAGAGAAAGCGAGAGAAUUUUGUUUUGUUCUAUAUAUUACACCUAAAAGUAAAAAAAAAAAAAAAAAAGUACCUUGCCAUUUCCUGUAUUUAGCCCAUACCUUGGCUAAGUACAAUAAUACAGCAGGACUGGAGAUAUCUCAACCAACUUUAGAUCCAAAAUCAUUAGAUAUACAUCAUAGGAUGACAUUACGGAAAAGAUGACAUAUUCCACAGGUAAAUGAAUCAAAGGGUAAUUUACUUUGUUCAUAUAAAAUAUGAAGGGCAUUUACGUCUAUUACAAAGCAAGUCUCUGCCCCACCUUUUUUGUUGCAACAAAAAAUUGCAGUUUUUGUCUCAUUGACAAAAAUUUGACUUAGGGGAAACACAUUACAUACAGUAUCAUAUCACAAAUUACAAGCAAUUCAUAGCUAAAGUGCAUGUCUUAAAAAUAUAAUUUGUCAAUUGUUUUUUAUUUGUUGUUUGGAUUUAUAGAUUUGUUGAAGAAAUGGCUCCAGUGUUCUCCAGAAAUGCAUGGCAUUGUGGUUGGCAUUUUACAGAAUAACCUUGGUUAUUUUGCAUUAAGGAAUAUCCUUCUUUAAACCAAAAAAGACCAAAUUGCCCUGUAUCAAUUUUACUGCACCAAUCUGAGGUAAAACCAACCCACAAUUUUACUGCACCAAUCUCAUCAAUUUUACUGCACCAAUGACGAUGAUGGAUAGGCGUGUUGGGGUGACUACGUCUGCAUCUCGCAUAAGAAUAGUAUCUUCUGCACAUCCUAUACUAGAAAAGAAGUACAAGGGAAUUACUUCAAAGUACAAUGCAUUAAUAAGAAAACAGUUUUAACUCCAAUGUUGUAAACAAGUGCCCUCUUAUUGUGUCAUAACAUAAUUUUUUUUCUUUUUAACUUUUUUUUUUUCAAUGUCUCUGUAGUAUUGAUAUUUAUUCAAUAACUUAUGAAACAAGACUUGAUUACCAUGCCAUGAAUACAACAUUGAACUGUUAAUA